GACGAACGCUGGCGGCGUGCUUAACACAUGCAAGUCGAACGGAAAGGCCUCUUUCGGGGGGUACUCGAGUGGCGAACGGGUGAGUAACACGUGGGUAACCUUCCCUUUACUUUGGGAUAACUUCAGGAGACUGGGGCUAAUACCGGAUAGAAGCUCCUGCUGCAUGGUGGGGGUUGGAAAGUUUCGGUGGUUGGGGGUGGACUCGCGGCUUAUCAGCUUGUUGGUAGGUUGUUGGCUAACCAAGGGUUUGGCGGGGAGCCGGCCUGAGAGGGUGACACGCCACAUUGGGUCCGAGGUAAGGCCCAGAUUGCUACGGGGCGCAGCUGUGGGGAAGAUUGCACAAUGGGUGGAAGCCUGAUGAAGCAGCGCCGUGUGCGGGAUGACGGUCUUCGGGGUGUAAACCGCUUUCGCUCAUGACGAAGCAUUGUGUGACGGUAGUGAGUAAAGAAGCACCGGCUAACUACGUG
rnacentral:rRNA from 1 species